UUGGGGUUUUAGGCUGGGUUUCUGUACAGCACUUUGAGAUAUCAGCUGAUAUACGAAGGGCUAUAUAAAUACAUUUGAUUUGAUUUGAUUCAAACAGAGGCUCAUACAGAGUAUCCAGGACCAACGCCAGAUCCCAGGUCUUUGCUAUAGGCUUAGACCCUGAUCCGAGCCUACACACGUCUUUCAGGAAACCCACCACCAGAGGAUGAGACCCAGGGUAGAGCCGUCCAUCCCUACCUGACUGUAACAGUUCUCUUGUGGUGAAGGAGAGUCGGACCAAAAUGCAUCGUGUAGAUUGCGAUCCAUGUUUAAUAAACAAACGUAAAACACGAAUCAAUAUUAAACACUACAAAACAAAGAACGUAACGAAAACCGAAACAGCCUAUACUAGUGUAAACUAACACAGAGACAGGAACAAGGACACUAAGGACAAUCACCCACGAAACGCUCAAAGAAUAUGGCUGCCUAAAUAUGGUUCCCAAUCAGAGACAACGAUAAACACCUGCCUCUGAUUGAGAACCACUUCAGACAGCCAUAGACUUAACUAGAACACCCCACUAAGCUACAAUCCCAAUACAUACACACCACAUACAAAAACCCAUGCCACACCCUGGCCUGACCAAAUAAAUGAAGAUAAACACAAAAUACUUCGACCAGGGUGUGACAGAACCCCCCCUAAGGUGCGGACUCCCGAACGCACCUCAAAACAAUAGGGAGGGUCCGGGUGGGCAUCUGUCCAUGGUGGCGGCUCCGGUGCGGGACUUGGACCCCACUCAAUCAAUGUCUUAGUCCCUUCUCCUCGCGUCCUUGGAUAGUCCACCCUCGCCGACAACCAUGGCCUAGUAGUCCUCACCCAGAACCCCACUGGACUGAGGAGCAGAUCGGGACUGAGGGGCAGCUCGGGACUGAGGCAGCUCGGGACUGAGGGGAAGCUCGGGACUGAGGGGAAGCUCGGCACAGGAGGUAAAUACCUUCCCCCACACCUGGAGGCACUCCUCUGUGGCGGAGAUAAGCACCAUCAAAGGCACAUUCACCACCAAUGGUUCACUCGCCCUCGCCGAAUCCAAAGCCGGGACUUUAGGCUGCCCCGGUCUGAUGUCAUCCAAUUUACACUCUGAAAACCCUCCAGAACCAAUCAGGGAUAGUGUAUCAUUCCAUGGAAUCCAGACUCUGAACAUUGUCAGAGAAACCGAAAUGAGCCUAACUCAGCUGAGAUGACACCCAUAUCAAUUCCCAUCACCAAUCUUCCUCACAAAGUCAGCCCAACUCCGAAUGGAAGUUGAACUUAGCCAGAGCAGUGGUCACACAAACUGCUCCGAGCCAAUGCCCCCUGAGCAUGAUUCCACCCCAGCACUCGUGAGUAUCUUUCAUUUUCAUUGUGAAACCACAUGCGGUGGAGGUUCAAACUCGGCCGGUUAGCUUUUUUGAACGGACUCUUACCACUGGCCAUCUUACUCAAGCAAGGAAGCAUUAGCUACACAAGCAGAGCAGAAUGUAGGUCACUGUUACCAAACACAAAAACUGAUACCAAGACCUAAAAAUUGAAAUAUCUAGGGGGACGAGUACUCUCUCCACACUAACAGACACCUAAGUCCGAUCCGAAUCUUCUAGCCAUCAUGUGCUUUAAAAGUUUGUAAAUUGCGUGACACGUUCUUCCUUCAGGUGAGCUGAAGAGCCCCGGUGUUAUAGCCAGGAAGGCGGGGCUUCCGAGGGUGGGAUCAACAUCCACUGGCCCGUUGGGCAUCAUUUCAGUUUGCUUCAGAUAUCUCUUUCAUGCUGUUCUGUGAGUCACCACUUUUCCUGUAAGUUGGACACACUUAAAUGGUCCACACCAUACAGAUAGUGUGGGAAGAAGGCAGCGCCUCUUCAACCUGAAGAAAUGUGUCUUGUCACUCAAAACCCUGACAAACUUUUACAGAUGCACAAUCGAAAGCAUCCUGUCAGGCUGUAUCACAGCUUGGUACGGCAACUGCACCGUCCUCAGCCGCAAGGCUUUCCAGAGGGUGGUCCGGUCUGCAUCAACGGGGGAAAACUACCUAGCCUCCAUGAGACCUACAGCACCCGAUGUCACAGGAAGGCCAAAAAGAUAAUCAAGGACAACAACCAUCCGAGCCACUGCCUGUUCACACCGCUGCCAUCCAGAAGGCGAGGUCAGUACAGGUGCAUCAAAGCUGGAACUGAGAGACUGAAAAACAGCUUCUAUCUCAAGGCCAUCAGACUGAUUUCUAUUUGCCAUAUCGUUUUUAACUGUGUUGUGAUGUUUCACAGAAGUUCUGAACCUUUCUAUUCUCAUAGUUUCUACAGAUUGUCAAUUUAAAGAACAUUUAUUUGCUAAGAGUAUUAUUAUAUUAUUGAUCAAGUGACUAUGACUUUUCAAAUCACCCAGCAGUGCUAUUUGCAGAGUUAGCGCUAGGUAAAUGUUGCAAUUCUUCAGCCAUCCCUGAACCUGCAAACAAAAACAAGCUACAUAUGGACAGUACCAAAACAAAUUAUCUAAUGUUUAUGUCUCUUCGUAGCAACAUCUGCACAGCUUGGAUGGUUGUAUCCCCCAUAUAUAUAACAUUCUCUUAGUUGCAAGAAUUUUGUAUAAUAAUUCAAAUGGAAAAACUCUG